rnacentral:rRNA from 1 species
UACGUAGGGUGCAAGCGUUGUCCGGAAUUAUUGGGCGUAAAGAGCUCGUAGGCGGCUUGUCGCGUCGCUGUGAAAACCUGGGGCUCAACCCCGGGCCUGCAGCCGAUACGGGCGGACUAGAAUUCGGUAGGGGAGACUGGAAUUCCUGGUGUAGCGGUGAAAUGCGCAGAUAUCAGGAGGAACACCGGUGGCGAAGGCAGGUCUCUGGGCAUUAACUGACGCUGAGGAGCGAAAGCAUGGGGAGCGAACAGG